rnacentral:rRNA from 1 species
AUUGAACGCUGGCGGCAGGCCUAACACAUGCAAGUCGAGCGAGAGGCGGACGGGUGAGUAUUGUCUGGGAGACUGCCUGAGGGAGGGGGAUAAAUACUGGAAACGGUAGCUAAUACAGCAUACCAUCAGAUGUGCCCAGAUGGGGUUAGCUAGUAGGUGGGGUAACGGCUCACCUAGGCGACGAUCCCUAGCUGGUCUGAGAGGAUGACCAGCCACACUGGAACUGAGUCACGGUCAAGACUCCUACGGGAGGCAGCAGUGGGGAAUAUUGCACAAUGGGCGCAAGCCUGAUGCAGCCAUGCCGCGUGGGUGAAGAAGGCCUUCGGGUUGUAAAGCACUUUCAGCGGGGAGGCGUUACCCGCAGAAGAAGCACCGGCUAACUCCGUGCCAGCAGCCGCGGUAAUUC